rnacentral:rRNA from 1 species
UACGGCGUAAAUGUGUUAAGCACACCGCUAAAUAGAGUUAAAUUUUAAUUAAGCCGUAAAAAGCCAUAAUUUCAAUAAAAAUAAGCAACGAAAGUGACUCUAUAACAGCUGACACACUAUAGCUAAGACCCAAACUGGGAUUAGAUACCCCACAA